rnacentral:rRNA from 1 species
GUGGGGAAUCUUCCGCAAUGGACGAAAGUCUGACGGAGCAACGCCGCGUGAGUGAUGAAGGUCUUCGGAUUGUAAAGCUCUGUUAAUCGGGACGAAAGAGCCUAGUGUGAAUAAUGCUAGGAAGUGACGGUACCGGAAUAGAAAGCCACGGCUAACUACGUGCCAGCAGCCGCGGUAAUACGUAGGUGGCAAGCGUUGUCCGGACUUAUUGGGCGUAAAGCGCGCGCAGGCGGAUCUGCCAGUCUGUCUUAAAAGUUCGGGGCUUAACCCCGUGAUGGGAUGGAAACUACAGAUCUAGAGUAUCGGAGAGGAAAGUGGAAUUCCUAGUGUAGCGGUGAAAUGCGUAGAUAUUAGGAAGAACACCAGUGGCGAAGGCGACUUUCUGGACGAAAACUGACGCUGAGGCGCGAAAGCCAGGGGAGCGAACGGGAUUAGAAACCCCUGUAGUCC